rnacentral:rRNA from 1 species
UACGGAGGAUGCGAGCGUUAUCCGGAUUUAUUGGGUUUAAAGGGUGCGUAGGCGGCUUUUUAAGUCAGCGGUGAAAUUUUGCAGCUUAACUGUAACAGUGCCGUUGAUACUGGGGAGCUAGGAUUUGGUUGCUGUGGGUGGAAUGUGUGGUGUAGCGGUGAAAUGCUUAGAUAUCACGAGGAACUCCGAUUGCGCAGACAGCUUACUAAACUACUACUGACGCUCAGGCACGAAGGCGUGGGGAUCAAACAGGAUUAGAUACCCCU